rnacentral:rRNA from 1 species
GCGUGCUUAACACAUGCAAGUCGAACGAACCUUCGGGUUAGUGGCGGACGGGUGAGUAACGCGUAAGUAAUCUACCCUCGCAUCUGGGAUAACCCACCGAAAGGUGUGCUAAUACCGGAUACGUCUAAGUUAAUAUCUUUUUUUUAGAGAAAGGUGGCCUCUUCAUGAAAGCUACUGUGCGGGGAGGAGCUUGCGUACCAUUAGCUAGUUGGUAGGGUAACGGCCUACCAAGGCGAUGAUGGUUAGCGGGUCUGAGAGGAUGAUC